rnacentral:rRNA from 1 species
CCUACGGGUUGCACCAGUAGGGAAUCUUCCGCAAUGGACGAAAGUCUGACGGAGCAACGCCGCGUGAGUGAUGAAGGCUUUCGGGUCGUAAAACUCUGUUGUUAGGGAAGAACAAGUGCUAGUUGGAUAAGCUGGCACCUUGACGGUACCUAACCAGAAAGCCACGGCUAACUACGUGCCAGCAGCCGCGGUAAUGCGUAGGUGGCAAGCGUUAUCCGGAAUUAUUGGGCGUAAAGCGCGCGCAGGUGGUUUCUUAAGUCUGAUGUGAAAGCCCACGGCUCAACCGUGGAGGGUCAUUGGAAACUGGGAGACUUGAGUGCAGAAGAGGAAAGUGGAAUUCCAUGUGUAGCGGUGAAAUGCGUAGAGAUAUGGAGGAAUACCGGUGGCGAAGGCGGCCCCCUGGACGAAGACUGACGCUCAGGUGCGAAAGCGUGGGGAGCAAACAGGAUUAGAUACCCGAGUAGUC